CCCGCAACGAGCGCAACCCUUAUCCUUUGUUGCCAGCGAGUCAUGUCGGGAACUCAAAGGAGACUGCCGGUGAUAAACCGGAGGAAGGUGGGGAUGACGUCAAGUCAUCAUGGCCCUUACGAGUAGGGCUACACACGUGCUACAAUGGCAUAUACAAAGAGAAGCGAACUCGCGAGAGCAAGCGGACCUCAUAAAGUAUGUCGUAGUCCGGAUUGGAGUCUGCAACUCGACUCCAUGAAGUCGGAAUCGCUAGUAAUCGUAGAUCAGAAUGCUACGGUGAAUACGUU
rnacentral:rRNA from 1 species